GGAGAAGUCCGGAGAGAUACCAUCUGUAGUCGAAAGCCGGAUUAGUCUUGAGAGGGUCAAUCCCGUCGAGAACUUUGGCUGAGGGUAUUUUAUACCCAACACUAUCUAUGUGACUAUGGCUGGCGACGGUUGGGGCUGCUCUGGUGCAAGUAGAGGAUCUCGAACUGAUGGUUAGCGGUGAUGACCAGCACCGGCAAAUC
rnacentral:lncRNA from 1 species